ACAGCAGAGGAGAGGGUGAAGACGUUGCUAUGGUUUGGAGGAGCACACGAUCAGGAAGAAUUUUUUUCCUCUUUCUAAAGUAGCACUGUGCUGUCACUAGCACAUUUUAUUAUUUCUUUCCCUUUUUCAUCAUCUCUGGGGAAAAACAGCUUUAAAGCCAGAAUGAUGCUGGGGACCAGCCAGCUGGUGGUUGAGUUUGAAGUGGUGCUUAUCCAUAGCAGAAGCACAGAAGAAAGAAAAUCUGUAGCAGAAGGUCUGUAUCAUUUAGUGCAGACCCAACUGUACCCUCUUUUUGCUCUGCAACAGCAUUUGUGCUCUUCUGUCCAGUGCUACUUCCCAAGCAGUAGCACUCACCAGCAGCACCCAUGAGCAGUCAGCAUCUGUUUGGAAAGAAGCUCUCCAAAUGCAUUUGAAAAGGAUUUCUAUCAUCAUUGAGACAUGUGAUGCAAAGGGAAGGACAUUCAAACAGAUACUGAUAGUGAAGAAAUGUAUCAGCAACCUGAGCAAGACAGCCUGAAAGUAAUAACAUGCCUAUUGAAAUCCUCAAGUUAUAUUUAGACUCU